rnacentral:rRNA from 1 species
GACGAACGCUGGCGGCGUGCUUAACACAUGCAAGUCGAACGAAGAGCGAUGGAAGCUUGCUUCUAUCACUCUUAGUGGCGAACGGGUGAGUAACGCGUAAUCAACCUGCCCUACAGAGGGGGACAACAGUUGGAAACGACUGCUAAUACCGCAUACGAUCUAAUCUCGGCAUCGAGGAUGGAUGAAAGGUGGCCUCUACAUGUAAGCUAUCACUGAAGGAGGGGAUUGCGUCUGAUUAGCUAGUUGGAGGGGUAACGGCCCACCAAGGCGAUGAUCAGUAGCCGGUCUGAGAGGAUGAACGGCCACAUUGGGACUGAGACACGGCCCAGACUCCUACGGGAGGCAGCAGUGGGGAAUCUUCCGCAAUGGACGAAAGUCUGACGGAGCAACGCCGCGUGAGUGAUGACGGCCUUCGGGUUGUAAAGCUCUGUUAAUCGGGACGAAAGGCCUUCUUGCGAAUAGUGAGAAGGAUUGACGGUACCGGAAUAGAAAGCCACGGCUAACUACGUG